CUUACAGAUGUUCCCAGCCGUCAGGAUCAGUGUGGGCUAUGACACUGACACAGUGAGAAGAUGGCUAUCUUUGAAGUAUGAAGGAGGCCCUCACCUAACACUAAAUGGGAUCGUGGCUUGAACUUCUGAGCCUCCAGAACUAGUCAUCACUGUUCAGUGGAACAUCCUUUCAGAUGCAUGAAGAUGCCAAACUAGAGGAAAGAGGACACAACAAUGUGAUGUCCCAAGGGUCAACAUUUCCCAAGGGAUAGUUCUGACUGAGGAGACAUAAAAAUAGUCUACAACCAACAGAUAUUCCUGUCCCAAUAAUCUUUUUAUAGUAUACUAUAGCUGUAUUCAAUAUAAAACAAGUAGAGUGAGAACUGAAUGUGAAUUACAAAGCAGAUUUUAUUCAUGAUACAUGAGUUAAUAAACAUGAGUUAAACUCAUGAUACAUGAAUUAAAGAAAAGAAUGGAGCCCCUUUUCAUAUUUUAUUGCCAAAAAAUUUACCAAGUAGAUGAUUUAUUUGGAAAGAUAGCACAUUUUUGAAAUUAACUCUUGAUUUGUAAAAGUUCAGAUGGUUCCUAUCUACUUGGUCAACUAAAAGUGAUUGUUUUUACUGCUAUAACCCAAGCAUGUCAGUCUUUGAGAAACAUGCCAUUAAUCAUGAUUAAAUUGUAUAGGCUCAAAAAUCUCUAA